rnacentral:lncRNA from 1 species
CUGUCCUUCCAGUAUGUGACUCAAGAAAAAAUUCUAAAACAUUGGUAUUAAACAAUUGCAUUAAAAAGAGAAAAUCGAGUGUCAUCAAAAUUCAAACCCGAUCUGUAUUUUGUGGUAAUAAGCAUUGUGUACAAGUUUCAUAACAUUAAUUUAUUUGGUUGAGGCAAACUCAAGAGUAUGGGAACCAACCUUUGGACAUGGGGUAAAACUUAAUGCAUCUUUCUUUAUAGCAGGGUAGGGGGGUUUAAAAACACAUACUUAUUU